GAAGGAAAUGGCAACCCACUCUAGUAUUCUUUCCUGGGAAAUCCCACGGACAGAGGAGCCUCGCAGGCUACACAGUCCAUGGGGUUGCAAGAGUUCGACAAGACUUAGCCACUAAAGCACCACCACCAUAGCUAUAUGAUAGACUAGCUAAAGGCAUACCCACCUGGGAUCUGGUAUGGAAACCAUCUAAAUAUAGCUGCUGCGGUGCCAGCCUUGGACCCAGAGGGAGAUUGGUGGGGCUGGGCUGUUGGAAGGGGUGCCCUGCAGCUCUGAAGUCUUAUCCGUGGGACCUGGCUCUGGGCGACUAAGACUGAUGAGACUCAGGUGCUGCAAAGUACCACAGUGAUUGGGAGAACUAGGAGUAAUGGAGAAGGACCACCCAUGAAUCGUAUCUUAAGAGUCACUUCUUGAAUUGACUGAAUGGCUCAAAAUGUCAGAAUCAGUCCAAAUGAUUUUAUGUUUAAAGCCCAAAUACUUUUAUGUUUGUCCAUGUUUAAUAGCUCCUCCCAAUGCCAUCCCAGGGAAGGAGUUCUUUUUAGACAGGUUGUGUCUGAUGCUGCCAGGAAGACCAUGAUGCAUACAGUAAAUAUUUAAUGAUAAUGAAGUUAAAGGAAGAGGAAAAUGUGGACACAGAAACCCAGGAGGAACACCAUGUGAUUCCUGAGGCAGAGAUUGGAGUUAUUCUGCCUCAAGCCAAGGAAUGCCAAGGAUCACUGGCCAGCAGCAGAAGCCAGGAGAAAGCUUUAGAGGCAACCCUGAGUCUGUUGGCCUCAGAGCUUUAUCCAUCUCAGAUGGGAAGGCCAGCGCCAGCUUCGCCGGCAGGACCACGGCAUCUAUGUCGUUCAAGAAUCCGAGGAGGAAGGACCAAGCUCGUCUUGAAGAAUGAAAGGAAGGGACACCAGCUCCCUCUCCAAUCUCAAUCAGAGGAUAAAGAUAUAAAGACAGGGAUUGUUGGAGGCGUCUUGCCCCUAAAAUGGAAAGAACUUGAGGAUGCAGACAAGGAGAAAGAGCACAGUGGGUGAAUCCCACCGGGAGAGAAUUCAUAAUGGAUACAGAAUUUGAUUCCAGGAGUGGGAUGCAGUAAAAUACAAACCUAAAACGUGGACUUGUCUGAGCAGAGGUGAUGAGGUGAAGAGCAAUGGCCUGCUGGGACUCAGGCUUGUGCCUACAAAGUGCAUCAGGAAAAAUGGCAGGAAAAAUUCAAGAUUUGGGAUUCUAGUAAGGUCCUGCAAUGGAGCAACAAUCUUCAGAUGAAGUGUUCCAUCUGACAACAGAAGAAAGUAUGGUUUUACUUAGAAGGCUCUCUCUGGAUAUGCAUGGCAAGAAAAAUGCCUGGAAUCCGGCAAUGCUACAAAGACCAAAUACUUGACUCCAAGUUAAGGUUCAUACAAGUAAAGACAGGAGGUACAGCUGGGGCAAAAGACAAGCCUAUCUCCUUAGAUCACUCCUAAAUACUUCCUGUGAAAUCGUUCCCACCUGACAAAGCAAACAAGUGCAGCUGUGAUGGAACCAAGGCCAGGGAACAAAUCAUUCCACUCCAGGUUAUUAUCAGAAACUGUCCAGUAGCAGAAGCCAAGAUGAAAGUAGCAUCCAUGACAUUAAGGUCUAAGGGGAUGAUAAUAUUAUUAAUACAACAGAGGUCUGCUGUUAGACAAUAGAACUUCCUAGACUCCAAUACAACUGGAGACAGCCUCUCUGUCUAUUGUUCCCAGCCUGCGGAAGUGACUAGUCAAAUGUCUUGAUGAUACCUAAGCCUAUAAAGGAACUGUGUCACCAAAGACAUCCCAAUCCUGCAUGAUCAGAGUCUUGACAGCUGAAAUGCUGUGGCAUUAGGGUUAGGGUUAGGGUUAGGGUUCUUUGAGGUCACAUGCACAGAAUCAGGGAUGCUAAAAUUAUGUAGCCCUUGGAAAGGAAAACUUCUCUAGAUAUGUCAAUGAAUGAAGAGCCUCCAAGAGAAGAAAACCAGAGGCUGCCAGGUUGGUUGACUAAGCUACUCCUCUACUGACGGAGCACUAUCAGAUCAUGAUGCUGAAAAGAAGGGAGAAAAUUCUUAGUACUCCCAUUUCCAAGCCAGCGUCCUCAGAUUUCCCCCGAUUAGACUAAGCUAUGUUCUCACCCCCAAGUCUUGUACCCACCCCAGGGGAAUUAUGUCUUUUAUGUAUAAUUUGCCAGUGGAUGUCUAUGUUCAUGAGAGUGUGUGUUUUCCCAAUUCUCCUCUUUUUAUAAUUGAGACUUCUUUCAUUGAAGUUAUCUAUAUUCUUUGUCUACUGUUAUAUACUGAAUGUCUUGGUGAUUGAUAAAUUAGUCUUAACUAAGUGUGAAGAGCUACACUGACUGAAAAAAGUUUUUGUAUCACUCAGAAGUCCUGACUUGGAACUAGAUGUAGUAAUUGGAUGAUACUUUAGUUGUCUAUUUUGGGGGACAGAAUGAGUGUACUUUAUGUAGGUAUGAAUGAACAUUUAAAAAUAUGCAUGUAUGGGAAGAUGGGUGUAUGUAGGUAUUGCAUACUCAAAGAUGUGGGCUGUCUAAAACCACUUAAUGUUUAUCCUAAGACUGAGCAAAUAAGUGAAUAAAUUAUGGAAAAGGAGAGCCAAAUUUCUCAUGGCCUGGGAAAGGAGUUAUAAUUAAGGAAAGGAGAAAAACUAGAGUGAAAAUAGCAUUGGAUUAAUAUUGGAGGUUACCCCACAUGGGACUCAUGGCUUUUGAUAGUUAGAUGCAUAUAGAAAUAUACAUAAAUACAAGCCUGUAUGCUCACAUAUUUAUUUUAUAGCUCCAUUUUCAGAGAGCCCUAGACACAAUACCAGUAAUGAACACACCAAUUGCUCAGAUUUUGGUUUCUGAACACUAUUAUCCAAUGAGAGUUACUAUGGUUCCUUGGAGAAGUAGCUGAUUCUAGGCAGAGAAAGAAUAAGAUGGGAAGGAAAUGUCUCAUGAUGCCGGAUAUAAGGAAAUAUUAAAAACGAAUGAUGAGAAUCUGUCAAAAAGGCACAGGAGUCUACUUUAAAAAGCUCUCAUUAUCAAAUCUGGGACAACAUAAACAGCAAAAUAAAUAAUAGUAGUAAUGGAUUAUAACCCAUAGAAUAAAAUAAUACACAAACUGUACUGAUGUAAAGUGAAAAUGAAAGUCCUUCAGUCGUGUCUGACUCUUUGUGACCCCAUGGACUAUACAGUCCUUGGAAUUCUGCAGGCCAGAACACUGGAGUGGGUAGCCUUUAAAUGGCAGAGAAGAAAAAGCAUAGUAGAAUUCCAACUAAUAAAUGUAGAAAGAUUAAGGUCAAACAUUUGUCAAACACCACAGUGAGAAUUGUUUCAGGCAAGAUUCAUCAAUAAAUGUUAAGACAUUGGCAAAAAAAAAAAAUGAUGAGAAAUAGGGUUUUUAGGUAAUUUCAAAGUAUAUUCCCCAAAGCUUCUAACUAAUUACAAAGGAGAAAACAGUAACAUUAUUAUAAAGAAAGAUGGUAGGCACCACAUAAAAUUCAGAGAUUAAAAUUUUCAUCACUAUAAUGGUCCAAGUCAUCAUCCUGUGUCUUUGCUUGUGAUGCACUCAGAUGAAUAUAGUAUCACUCUGCAGUAUUUGUCCCCAAAAUGUAUAACCUUAAUUUAAAUUAUGAGCAAACAUUAUGCAAACACAAAUUGAGGGCCAUUCUACAAAAUAACUGACCAACGCACUUCAAAAUGUCAAGAUAAUGAAAGACAAAGGAAAGCUAUUGGAAUAAGAUAGCUGUAUCUAUUAGAGAAAAUUUUCUGAUUUUAAUCUUUGUGCAGAUGUUAUGUUAGAUAUUAACUUUUGGAGAAUCUGCAUGAAGAGUACACAGGAAGUCUGUCCUGUGUUUGUAACAUGCUUGGCAAGCAAAAUUCAAGAUGAAAAGUUUAACAUUUUUUAAAUUAAAAUAUGAAAAAAAAUCCUCAGCCUUUCAAUUGUUUCCAUGGUCACCUCUUCUUUAAAACCUUUGCAGACCCCUUAGUUAUUGUAAUUCCAUACUUAAAUUUAUUUCCAUAUUA